UGGCACAGUGGUUAAAGUAUUUGACUUCUAACCAAAAGGUUGGUGGUUCAAACCCACC
rnacentral:tRNA from 1 species